GAUGAACGCUGACAGAAUGCUUAACACAUGCAAGUCGAUGGGGGAGUGGUGCUUGCACCAUGGCAACCAUGGCGGACGGGUGAGUAACGCGUAAGGGACUUACCUGCAGGACUGGGAUAACAGGGGGAAACUCCUGACAAGACCGGAUAAUGUCAUGGAGCUGCAUGGCUUUAUGAUGAAAGGAGACGCCUGCGGAGAGCCUUGCGUCCUAUUAGCUAGUUGGUGAGGUAAUGGCUCACCAAGGCGAAGAUAGGUAGCCGGCCUGAGAGGGUGGACGGCCACAAGGGGACUGGGAGACGGCCCUUACUCCUACGGGGGGCAGCAGUGGGGAAUAUUGGACAAUGGGGGCAACCCUGAUCCAGCAAUUCUGUGUGCACGAAGAAGGUUUUCGGAUUGUAAAGUGCUUUCAGCAGGGAAGAAGUAAGUGACGGUACCUGCAGAAGAAGCGACGGCUAAAUACGUG
rnacentral:rRNA from 1 species